CUUAUCGAGAGAGGCUGAGGGACCAGGCCCUUUGAAGCCCGGCAACCUGCGUCUUGGCGCGUGGUGCCAAUUCCUGCGGAAAUAUCCGAAAGAUGG
rnacentral:ncRNA from 1 species